GAUGAACGCUGGCGGCGUGCCUAAUACAUGCAAGUCGAGCGAACGGACGAGAAGCUUGCUUCUCUGAUGUUAGCGGCGGACGGGUGAGUAACACGUGGAUAACCUACCUAUAAGACUGGGAUAACUUCGGGAAACCGGAGCUAAUACCGGAUGAUAUUUUGAACCGCAUGGUUCAAAAGUGAAAGACGGUCUUGCUGUCACUUAUAGAUGGAUCCGCGCUGCAUUAGCUAGUUGGUAAGGUAACGGCUUACCAAGGCAACGAUGCAUAGCCGACCUGAGAGGGUGAUCGGCCACACUGGAAGUGAGACGCGGUCCAGACUCCUACGGGAGGCAGCAGUAGGGAAUCUUCCGCAAUGGGCGAAAGCCUGACGGAGCAACGCCGCGUGAGUGAUGAAGGUCUUCGGAUCGUAAAACUCUGUUAUUAGGGAAGAACAUAUGUGUAAGUAACUGUGCACAUCUUGACGGUACCUAAUCAGAAAGCCACGGCUAACUACGUG
rnacentral:rRNA from 1 species